GGUUGAGUAAAAUGUCAGAAUUUUUUAUUAAACUUUAUCAACUAUACACAAGAUUGUAAAAUACAUUUGAGAAAAAUAAAUACUAAUAAUUGUCAGUCCCCCUGUUGCAGAUCCCUGACGUAAAUCAUUGCAAUUCCAACUCAGCGCAGGAAACGUGCCCAAUCACCCAGUGGAUUAUCCGCCCGGCAUCAGAGUGUCUGUACUUAUUACUUUGUGAAAGAGAAACUCCAUUUAAUUAAACAGGUCAGUGAAAAGACUCAGUCUACUGCUAUUUCCCAGGUAAUUUCGCAGUGUUAGCUAAAAUUUAAUUCAAUUCCCUCAUGUGCUGCAUUAAAUUGGGCUCAGAAUUUGAUUGCCACCAGUUUGCAUCCCAAGCCAGUGAACGUCACAUCUUCACUUAGGCGACGCAGGAAUAAAGCCUAAUGUAUGCAAAUAAUACACUCAGCACUUUAAAGCCGCUCAGAGAGGUAAUAUGCUCUAGCAUACAGAACGCCUCUGGGUUCAAAGGGCAGUUAUAUUGCAUUAAGAGUCUACAAUGCUUCUGGCACCCACGCAUGUGCGCUUUGGUAAGAUGGACCCAGUAUGUCUGAAUCAGCAGCGCUUCUAAUGAUUAAAGAAAAUGAGAUUAUAAUGGGAAGCAGGAACAGGUUGAAGUGGUGCACAUAGGCUUUUGAAAAGUCCUCUUAUGACCAGACAGUAAUUGAAAUAGCAGCAUCUCAUGCUAUAGGAACUAAUGUCAUUGCGAAGUUACCUUUUAGUGCCCUGCUCUGUGAGCAAAUGGCCUAAACACUCAAGUAUGGAAGAGUUUAAAAAUGAGAGUGGUUAAACACAUGCUCUACUUGGCUUGGAUUGCAGUUCUCCAUGUUCAUUGGCAGCAGACAUGCAUACAAAUGCUGACAGACCGCCUUUAAACAUUUAUCUUUGUGUUUAUGUUUUAACUCAACCGUGCAUGUAGUGUAUAUGCAACUCAAAUGCAAUAUCAAUCAUAUUCAAACAAGCCUCCGCUGCUGAAAAGACCAGCUUUGCUGGUCAACAGCAUAAAUUGUGUUUUGGAAGCUGGGCUGGAGAAUGGGAUGCUACUGCUGCUCCUCUGUGGGAUUGUUAACUAGCAUCCCAACUCUGCAUUCACGGUGGAGGCUGAUUUGUGAGGCUGGAAUGAGAAAAGUGUGUGGAGUUGGGGGAUUGAGAAGAGAAAUGAACCUGUGCGACGGCCUCAGUACAAGGCGUGAUCUGGGACACGGGCUGCAGUGGGGUCUUGUUUGAUUUAGUUUACAGGCGAUAUAAAAUGAAGAGCACCCCACUGUGAUUUGGAGGACCUGGCCUGAAGGCCCUCACAGACUAUCUAAGGUUGAAAGGCACAUUUAAAGUAAUUAAUCACGCAUGGCUAUACAAGGCUACAUGGUGUUGCUAUGGCUGUGUGUUUCAUACAUGGUAUAUCUUGCCCCAAAGCACUAAAACUGCAAUUAAAACACAGAUUCAAAUAAGGAAAAACAGGCACUAGAUGCAGAACAUGAGACCUAGGACCUUUUUCUAAAAUGAUAUAUGCAUGUGUUCACAGCAGAUCUGUUCUGACAGGGCUGCAGAUAG